rnacentral:rRNA from 2 species
GACGGUACCUGAGGAAUAAGCAUCGGCUAACUCCGUGCCAGCAGCCGCGGUAAUACGGAGGAUGCAAGCGUUAUCCGGAAUGAUUGGGCGUAAAGGGUCCGCAGGUGGCAUUGAAAGUCUGCUGUUAAAGAGUCUAGCUCAACUAGAUAAAAGCAGUGGAAACUACAAAGCUAGAGUUUGGUCGGGGCAGAAGGAAUUCCUGGUGUAGCGGUGAAAUGCGUAGAUAUCAGGAAGAACACCAGUGGCGAAGGCGUUCUGCUAGGCCGAGACUGACACUGAGGGACGAAAGCUAGGGGAGCGAAUGGGAU